rnacentral:rRNA from 1 species
UGGAAGUAAAAAAUCGUAACAAGGUCUCCGUUGGUGAACCAGCGGAGGGAUCAUUACCGAGUUUACAACUCCCAAACCCCUGUGAACAUACCUUAUUGUUGCCUCGGCGGAUCAGCCCGCGCCCCGUAAAACGGGACGGCCCGCCAGAGGACCCAAACUCUAUUGUAUUUAGUGUAUCUUCUGAGUAACACAAACAAAUAAAUCAAAACUUUCAACAACGGAUCUCUUGGUUCUGGCAUCGAUGAAGAACGCAGCAAAAUGCGAUAAGUAAUGUGAAUUGCAGAAUUCAGUGAAUCAUCGAAUCUUUGAACGCACAUUGCGCCCGCCAGUAUUCUGGCGGGCAUGCCUGUUCGAGCGUCAUUUCAACCCUCAAACCCCCGGGUUUGGUGUUGGGGAUCGGGCUGCCAGUCAGCCCGGCCCCGAAAUCUAGUGGCGGUCACGCUGCAGCUUCCAUUGCGUAGUAGAUAACACCUCGCAACUGGUACGCGGCGCGGCCAAGCCGUUAAACCCCCAACUUCUGAAUGUUGACCUCGGAUCAGGUAGGAAUACCCGCUGAACUUAAGCAUAUCAAAAGGCCGGGAGGAA